rnacentral:rRNA from 1 species
AAGCUCGUAGUCUGACUUCGGGCUGGGCUGUGAAGGCUCACCGCAAGGUGGGACGGAUAGCCUGGCCUUACCCUCUGAUGUGCUCUCUGCUCUUAACUGAGUGGAUCUGUCGCACAGAGGCGUUUACCUUGAGCAAAUUGAGGUGUUCAAGGCAGGCAUAAUCGCUCGUACACGUUAGCAUGGGAUAAUGAAAUAGGGCCUUGGGUUCGCUGUUGCCGGUUGGUGAGCCCGGGCAAUGAUCAACAGGGGCGGUCGGGGUGCUUCAUAUGCAGGCGCUAGAGGUGAAAUUCUUGGACCGUCUGCAGAUGCCCAGAUGCGAAAGCGUUGCACCAGUACGUCCCCAUUGAUCAAGAACGAAAGUUAAGGGAGCGAAGACGAUCAGAUACCGUCGUAGUCUUAACCCUAAACGAUACCGACCAGGGAUCGAGGAUAGUCCCAUGGUUGACUCCUUCGGAACCUUGUGGGAAACCACGAGUCUUUGGGUUCUGGGGGGAAUAUGGUCGCAAGGCUGAAACUUAAAGGAAUUGACGGAAGGGCACACCAGGAGUGGAGCCUGCGGCUUAAUUUGACCCAACACGGGGAAACUCACUCGGUCAGGACAUAGUAAGGAUUGACAGGUUGACGGUCCUUUCUUGAUUCUAUGGGUGGUGGUGCAUGGUCGUUCUUAGUUCGUGGAGUGAUCUGUCUGGUUAAUUCCGCUAACGGACGAGACCUCUCCUUAUUAACUAGUGCGGUUCGCGGCCGUAAGGGUGAAGCAGUGGAGCUGGUUGGGACUUCGGUUCUGACUGCUUAGCUGUGGAACCUGGCGUGCGGAUUGCUUACUUCUUAGGGGUACAAUCUGCGUUUUAGCAGAGGGGAGCUAGAGGCAAUAACAGGUCUGUGAUGCCCUUAGAUGUUCGAGGCUGCACGCGCGCUACAAUGGUAUGGUCAGCGAGUUCCUGGCUCGAAAGGGUCGGGGAAUCACAUGAAUCCAUAUCGUGCUGGGGAUAGAUGAUUGCAAUUAUUCGUCUUCAACGAGGAAUUCCUAGUAAGUGCACUUCAUCAGAGUGCGCUGAUUGCGUCCCUGCCCUUUGUACACACCGCCCGUCGCUCCUACCGAUUGAACGGUCCGGUGAAAUCUACGGAUAUCGGGACCUAAGGGGCAACCCUGAGUCCUAGUAGAAGUUGAGUAAACCUUACUGUUU